rnacentral:rRNA from 1 species
AGUUUUUAACUCAAGUGGCGGACGGGUGAGUAACACGUAAGAAUUUGCCCUUAGGAGGGGGAUAACAACUGGAAACGGUUGCUAAUACCCCAUAUGCUUUCGAGUGAAAUGGAUUUUUCCGCCUAGAGAGAAGCUUGCGGCUGAUUAGCUUGUUGGUAAGGUAAUGGCUUACCAAGGCGACGAUCAGUAUCUGGUUUGAGAGGAUGAUCAGACACACUGGAACUGAGACACGGUCCAG